ACCCACAGAGUUCGACUCUCUGGGUGUAACACAGGAAAAGGGGCGCUCCUCUUCCCAUUUUGCCAGUGUACCCCUGUCUGCAGGAUCAGUCAACUGCAGUCAGAUGCUAACGGGAUGGCUGGGACCGGGACCAUCAGUUCCCAGCACAAGGGAUGUGCUGUGGCAGUGCUGUAGGAUUCUGGACCCUUUGGAUGGAGUGAUGGGAAGAGGAACCCGAUUACUUGAGCCAUCAUGGCUGCCUCCAAGGGUGUGCGUUAGUAGGAAGCUGAUGUCAGGAGUCACAGCAAGGAACUGAACCCAGGUAACAGCAGGAAGAGUAAAAUCCUGGUUCCACCGUGGCUCCAGCAACACUUCCGGAUCCUGAAACCAACCUAGUGACUCAUUGAAAGCAGCAUCUCUUAUAAGUUACAACACACAGCUAUUGGGCACUGGUCUAGCUUUGAGGAUCACUCACGAGUUCUCAAACAGGCACACAGAAUUUGGAGAAAACAUAACUCAUGAACAUGAAAAUAUAUUCAUGGGAAUUCUCCAUAAUAUUUGGGAAGCCACUGAAUAAGACCAGAAUUCAACUAGUCCAGCUGAGAGCACAAGCCCACGAGACCUGAUUUAUCUCUAAAAUAAAACUGCAAAGUGCUUAACACGGUAUCUGGCUCACAGGAAGCACUCAAUACAUUGCCGUUACUUCUGGUAGCGUACGUUAGUUUUCAUUUGAGCUUGUAGAGCCUGGGAUAUACACGUUACACAGGCUCGUCUGCCAGUGAAUACAAGUGUUUUUGAUGAAUGUUCUUUCUGAAGUUUUCAGAUUUUCAAACUUGCUUGCUAUCUACCAUGUGCCCGGUCCGAUCCUCCUAAGAGCCAUGUGACCUGGGUAGUAGCAUCCACACCGUGGUGAUGGAGAAAACCAGGUGCCUAGAAAACAGUGAAAGUGUGAGUCCAAAAAUCAUGGGCACCAAAACCCAAACACAGAGGUGUCGACAUUGAUAUAAACACAGUCGUAAUUAUAGAUAACGUGUUUUGAAGACUGAGAUGACUUGCUUUGGGGAAUGUCUUAGAGAAUCCAGAGUGUGUGAAAGCCUUAGAAGUACCAAGGUCACAGAGCAGCUUUCAUGGUGAGAAUGUCCAUUUCUAUUUUCUACAUUUCUGUUUCUCUCACUUGGGACAUCAUAUGUGAAUAACCAACUCCGCAAGCCACCUUCAUCAACCUGACAGCAGGAAGGGGUUGUC